rnacentral:rRNA from 1 species
UACGAAGGGUGCAAACGUUGCUCGGAAUUAUUGGGCGUAAAGCGCACGUAGGCGGCUUUUCAAGUCCCAUGUGAAAUCCCACGGCUUAACCGUGGAAGUGCAUGGGAAACUGGAAAGCUUGAGUACUUAAGAGGAUCGCAGAAUUCCCGGUGUAGAGGUGAAAUUCGUAGAUAUCGGGAGGAACACCAGUGGCGAAGGCGGCGAUCUGGGAAGAUACUGACGCUGAGGUGCGAAAGCGUGGGGAGCAAACAGG